UUAAGAGAGAGUGCAGAGGCUCUCUCAGACAUGUUCAUGUUCUGGGCAGCAGGACUCCUCCUUUAACCUUGCUUUUCCUCCCCAGGCUGCAGCUCCUCUGCAUGUUUCAGAGAGCUGACUUUCUUACUUCAGACCACUGGAGGUCUAAUUAUCGGUCUCUUAUUCCUCAGAUGAAACAUUCCUGCACAAAUUAAGCCUCAGCUUUCUCUGCAAAUCUCAGUUUCAACAGUCCAGACUCUGCAGCUCUGCAGGUCAGCUCACAGACCUCAGUCAGAUGUCCCUUGGUUUCUUGAGCACACGUCCUUCACAGCGUGGAUCUCUUCCUGUCUGUGGGUGGUGAGCAGUGGGACAGGACAGAGUUCAGAGACAGGACAUGACAUCUAAGUUUGCUGUGAAGCCUUAGUGUGAUGAUGAGGAGGAUGAAGCAGCAGAGACUGACGUUAUGAUAACAGUUUGUACAUUUAUAUAUCAACGCUUUGUGGAGACAGACGAUGUGCCGACUUCUUCUCUGCUCUCCUCUUUCUCUCUUUCUCUCUGAUGUUUUUACUCACCAGGUUCACAUCACUCUUCUGACUUUGCUUUAGUGAUGUGAUAAAUGGCUCCACCAGCAGCUUGUGGUGAAUUUCCCUGAAUGUGUCCCACUCUGUUCUCACAUCAGCUCACCUUAGCAACUUCAUACAGACAUUUCACAGGCAGGUAAAAGUACAGGUGAAAGUUUCUGCAGUUCGCGUUCACACACGCAUCUCAUUCUGAAACUUUAGAGAAAGCUUUGUGAGUUUUGUGAUGUGAGAAUACAGCUUUGCAGAUGAUUGAUUUACCUCUUCAGUUUUUUGCAGUCUCAUAGUUUGAGUGUUAACUUUAAUGACCACGUGUUUAAGAUGAGACAGGUGUUUAUUAUCAUGAAGUCAUAGAAACUUGAACUAAUGGUGCAGGAUUUCAAACAGAAAUUCAUCAUGAGUCAUUCGUUACUUUGACUUGAAUUAGCUAAAAAAGUGUGUCACCAUAAAGUCCUCUGAUUGUUCACAAACAGGUUGUUGGAGCUAUUUACAUUGUUUCAUAUAUUUGAUUAUUUUUACUUUAAUCAAUUUAUUUAUUAUGUCAUUUAAGGUAAUUAUAGGAUGAAGUUUGAUGCCUUGUGUGUUAUUAAUAUAUUUCAUUACUCACUUUUGUAAGUUGAUAGUUUUGCACUGGGUGACAUGUUUGUAGACGGGCAGGUAAGAUAGGAGGGGCAGACACCGGGGGGAGGUGAAUGUUUUUUUUUACCAGGAGAUUUGAAGGCUUAGAGACGUUCCCUUCUGUUUGAGAGAAGCUUUGUUUUGUUGCGCAAUAAACCACCAAAAUACUGAAUAAUUGGUUGGACAUUGGCAAUAUUUGGACACCGUGUAAGAUCCACUCUCCGUGUGCCCUGUGACCGUUUUUUAAUUUGAAUUUUGAGUUUUGUCAAAAAGCCACUACAUGUCAUCUGGAUUAAUCUCUGUGUUUUAUUUCAUGUGUGAUCUCUUUCAUAUUUGAACACAUUCUUAUAGUUUCAGUAGAGAAAAGACACUUAAGUGAGUUGUUCAUAUUCAUUUAUUCACAGUUAAAUCUGCAGAGACGUGACGAGAAUAAUGAGGUGAGUACAGAUGGUUGGUUUACCUGUGUUUGACCUUUAAUGAUCCUGAACGGAUGACAGGUGGAUGCAGACAGAUUCACUCCGAAAUAUGACAUAUAAGAUGCACUUUUGAUACUGCUUCAAUCUAAAACAGGGGCUACACACGGUCUAAUAACCCAGUUUAAAAUGCAGAGAGUUGUUUUAUUGUUUUACUGCAGUUCGCUCAGGAGGUGUCAACAGAAAUAUUUGAUGUACCUUUCAUCAAAGUUUUAUUGGGAGUCUCUUGACGUAUUUUUGCUGGUUUGGUUUGUGAAAGACAAGAAGUGUCUGAAUGGCAUCAACAGAUUGUGCUGAUGACUCCAGCUUCAGGAACCGCUGCUCCCUUUGGACGAUGUGGGUGGUCCAGAAAGCAAACAGAGUUUUAACCCAAGCGGAUCACAUACUUGGCAGUGGAGUUGCAAUCAAGCCCUCAGGUCGGCGGUAUUAUGUGCCGGUGUGGAGAACAAACUCAACUUCUUUUAUUCCCUCGAGAAUCACUCCGCAUCCCGCUCUGCUGUACGGUCACUGGUUGUGGUUGUUGAUUUCACAAUGGGUUAUUUUAUUAUUAUGUGUUGUUACUAUUUCCUUUUCUGUAUAUUUUGUACUAUGGACGGGUUGACUGUAAAACUGAAUUGCCCUUCUGGGACUAAUAAAGUAUUCUGAAUCUGAAUCUGAAUCUAUGCUAGCUCUACCGUCACCGUCUGCACUCGACCUGGCGUGAAUGAAACUUACUCGGAUAAAUGAAACAUGCAUCAUGCUGCGAGGCACUUUAAACAUCUUUACUCCCUCUCAGGUCACGAUUCUGCAUUAAAGAAAGGUUUUCUGUGAGGUGAAUGAAGCUGGUUUAAUCGAUAAGACUCCUUACUUAAUCUGAGCUCACUAACUGUACUCUAGAUGCUGCUAGAGAGAGCUGCACAAAAUCUGCACGCUGAGGAGAGACCUCCAAACCCGGACAGCGUCUCGAACACCGGCUGAGCUUCUUACAGACUUUACGGUUUCUCUUUCAGCUGCACGCUCUGACACACACCUGUUCCUGUCUCCAUGCCUGAGUGGAGAAACUGUCCUGAUGUCUGAGAAUGCACCCCGUGUGGUUUGGAUUGGAUUAGUGAUUAAAGAUUAAGUGUCCUCUUUAAUCAUCGGGUAUUCAUCAGAGGAGACUGAAGGGUUUGGUUUCAGGGGUUCAGAAGGACGGUCAGACUGAGCUUCAUCAGGCGGCCGGCGAGGGAAGUCUCCGGCUCCUUCAGCUGUAGGAGGAAGAAGAAGAAGAAGAAG